CCAGAUUCUGGGGGUGAAAAGUAUAAACCCACCUCUCGCUCAGUAAUGUCCGUGUUUCCCAACCUCCACCUCUCAGACUCUGAUAGCGAAGGGGGAAGAAGCUCUUCUGACAAGAAGAACCGAAAGAAUCUAAAAACAACCAAAAUGAGCCAUCUUUUAGGAUCCCAUCCCAGAGACCAGGAAGUGGUAAACAGCUGGGAUCUGCUCCAACCACCAGGGAAAUUGUGUCCGUUCAGACUCCCGUCCAGCCUGCAGCGAGAACUCUUGUGGUCAGUCUGACUGAGCUGAGGGCACAACACAAAAUUGGCAGACACCCACAGUGUCGAACAGUAGGUUGUUUCCUUCGUGAUCUCUCAAACCCAAGCUCUUCCUGUGUCAAGGGAUUCAAACAGAAGAGGGAAGAGCUGAGCAAGCGGUUAUACCUUCUCUACAACUCCAGCAUCUUUGAU